rnacentral:rRNA from 1 species
AACGAACGCUGGCGGCAUGCCUAACACAUGCAAGUCGAACGAGACCUUCGGGUCUAGUGGCGCACGGGUGCGUAACGCGUGGGAACCUGCCCUUAGGUUCGGAAUAACUCCCCGAAAGGGGUGCUAAUACCGGAUAAUGUCUUCGGACCAAAGGUUUAUCGCCCUUGGAUGGGCCCGCGUUGGAUUGGCUAGUUGGUAGGGUAAAAGCCUACCAAGGCGCCGAUCCAUAGCUGGUCUGGGAGGCUGGUCGGCCACGCUGGGGCUGGGGCCCGGCCCGGACUCCUGCGGGAGGGAGCAGUGGGGGAUAGUGGACAGUGGGCGGAGGGCUGAGGCAGCGAGGCCGGGUGAGUGAUGAAGGCCGUGGGGUUGUAAAGCUCUUUUACCCGGGAUGAUAAUGACGGUACCGGGAGAAUAAGCGCCGGCUAACUCCGUG